AGGACGAACGCUGGCGGCGUGCUUAACACAUGCAAGUCGAGCGGAAAGGCCCUUCGGGGGUACUCGAGCGGCGAACGGGUGAGUAACACGUGAGCAACCUGCCCUUAGCUUCGGGAUAGCUCCGGGAAACCGGAAUUAAUACCGAAUAUGACUUUGGCUGACAUCAGCAGAAGUGGAAAGUUUUUCGGCUAGGGAUGGACUCGCGGCCUAUCAGCUAGUUGGUGAGGUAACGGCCCACAAGGCGACGACGGGUA
rnacentral:rRNA from 1 species